UGAAACCCUAGCCGCUUCCCUCCCUCUCACAAACCCUAGCCGGCCGUUCUCCGUCCCUCUUCUUCACUGCACCGUCGCUCCGCCGGCCCAACGCCGCAUCGUCCCGAUAUCCUCCUCCCUCGCGCUCACUGCCGCCAUCGCACCCCCCUUCCCUCUCGCCUUUCCUGCCUUUUCGCGUUGCACCGCUUCGAUCUUUCUUCCUCUUGAUCUCAGAGGAAGGAAGAAUACGAAGGGUUGGAUUGAUUAUCAUCAAUUGAUGCUAGGAGCCUUUGAAUUAACUGUGUUGCUUGUGGGAGUCUUCCGGAGUCAAUCGAGUCCAUUGUUGAAGAAGCUGCUGCCAAUUGUUCAAAUGAUUGUUUUUCAGAUGCUAGCAAAAUGACAAGGCUUGCUCUAUGCUCGACAUGAUUUGAUCGAGAAAUUAUCAUGCGUGACAACCUACAGGUUUUACCACGCUUUAGAUGCAAUUUGUUCUAUUGGUGAUUUUUGGUUGGGAAAACCUUGCUCUUUGGAGCAACAAUUGGCUGCUGAUGGGCAAAAUGCUUGUGCCAAUGUUGCUAUUGUUGUUGAACAAACUAUUGGCUUUCAAUAAGAAUGGUUCAACUUGAUGGAGACCAAACUGAUGCAUUGAUGAAACAUUUGGAUUGUGAGACUUCCCUUCUGCUUUGGCCAUGAAUUUUGUGUCUCCUUUUAACAAAUAGCUGGUUGAUCCCUUCGUGUAGAUAAGCUCUGAUAACAUUAGAAAAAAUGAUAAGUCUAAGGA